rnacentral:tRNA from 1 species
GUUGUGGCUCAGUGGUAGAGUACUUGCCUAGCAUGCACGAGGCACUGGGUUCAAUUCCCAGGUACCACA